UACGUAGGCAGCGAGCGUUGUUCGGAGUUACUGGGCGUAAAGGGUGUGUAGGCGGUUCUCUAAGUUUGGUGUGAAAUCUCCCGGCUCAACUGGGAGGGUGCGCCGAAAACUGGAGGGCUAGAGUACGGGAUGGGAGAGUAGAAUUCCUGGUGUAGCGGUGAAAUGCGUAGAUAUCAGGAGGAAUACCGGUGGUGUAGACGGCUCUCGGGACCGUAAUUGACGAUGAGACACGAAAGCGUGGGUAGCAAACAGG
rnacentral:rRNA from 1 species